AUUUUACAACACUGGCUACAACAGUGCCAUGCGAAUACCAGUUCUCACUUUCAGGUGACAUUGUAAAUAAAAAGAGGGCAGCAUUAUCGCCCCUAAAUGUAAACGAACUCGUUUGUCUUAACGUUUGGCUGAACAAGAAGUAGGACUGAGUGGGCUUGUAAAUUGCAUUUUCACGAUAGAGAUCACACUACAGUGCUUAAAAGAAAUAGAAUUUUCAAUUCACCUCAUUCUUUUUUAGAGUGCAAACAUUUGUAAUAAAUAUAAAGUGAGCACUGUACCAUUUGUAUUCUGUGCUGGAAUUGAAAAUCAGUAUAUUUGAAAAUGUAGAAAUUAUCCAAAAAUAUUUAAAUAAAUGGUAUUCUAUUAUUGUUCAACAGUGCAAUUAAACCUGUGAUUAACGUGAUUAACUUUUUUAAUCAUUUGACAUACCUAAUUGUAACUCUUUCAGCUUUACAAUUGGUAUCUCACAUUUAAAAUCUGGAACUGAAAUAAUCAAGGUCAUUUAACAAUAAAAUAUUUGACAUCAGGCAUGCGUGUUGGUAAAAUAGUAAAGGGAAGGAACUGAGUAUGCCAAGAGGGGGCGCCAAAACUAUAACAACUCAUCAAACUUAAUCCAGCCCUCUGAACAUGGCAAUGGUGAAAGCGGUAGUCUAGCCUGGACACCAAAGAUUUUUUUUUAUAACCUGUUCAGCAGAGUGUCUUCAGUACAGCCGCCUUUGCUGAUAACACCAGUGGUAAACAUUUUAGAUCUUAAAUUUGCUGGUGUAAAUGAGACCUAACACAGUGAGGACCCAAAUCUCAAUGUAACCCGUUUUGACGACUUUCCAGUUAUAACACCAAUCUCUUGUUGUGGUCAUUGUUGAAGUUAGCAUUAUUUGCUCUAAUCUGGAUUGCGGCUUUAUAAAAACGCUUCAGUAUAUCACUAUCUGUAUUUCAGUGAAGCAAAGACAACCCUCUUUGCAUCUUAUUAGGUCUUUAUUCAUUUUAAAGUGGGCUCCUUCAUAUUAGAAUACACAAAUUAAACCCUUAAAUAUUACUAGUAUAACUUUUAUUGUGAUAGUCUUUUACAAUUUCAAAUAUCUCUCAGCACUAAUUAAGUUGUGCAAUUUGUAAUUAUAGGAACCCCACACAUACAAUGAGUACGCACAUAAUGCACAUCUGAACAGGGUGAGGCAGCAUGGAGAGUACAGUAUAGCUUUUUUGACUGCCUUAUUUUGCAUUUACACCUUCAGAAAAAUCUAAGUUUAAAGAUUAAGUCAAUUGAUAGGUCUCAUACUUUAAAGGGAAACUUUCUAUAUUAAAGAUUGUAUUACAAGUAAGUGCUAAUGAUCUGAACCCCAGUUAGGAUUAUCUGUAAUUCAGGAAUGUAUAUUCUCCCCCCCCCCCAAAUCAAAUUUUUCUUUUCUAAAAUACCAAUUUUCCAAAUUUUACAUGUCUCCAGAGCUGUCAGAAUAGAUGGCUUGUAUUUGUUACCUUUUAUCUUAAUUGCUUAUGUCUUAACACACAAGACUAAAAAUGUUAAGUAAAUUGAUGUCACUAUGCUGUGUUUUACUUUGGGCGUAUGACUCUCUUUUGGGGGAUGAAACUAGACUGGUCAGUUGUAACCUCUUCAGUCAUUCUCACUUUGGUCUUGUCUACACUUGGUAGUAGCCAGUUCACACGUCAGAGAUGAGUUAUCUGCAGAAAUGCACAGGCUCUUAAUGUGUAGACAAGGGCAUGCAGGAUCUUAUAUCAAUUGAAUUAGUCCCAUUUACUUCAGGAACACUGCUGAAUUAGGGUUAUUCCGAAGUGUAGACAUGUCUCCAUUUCUAUGGACUACCACAGGUUCUGUUUGUAGUAGGUGGUGAUGGUUACGCAUUGUUCUGUGCUGAUCCCUGUGGUGUCUGGAUGCCAUUGCAUAAACUUGAAAAAACUUCAGUUCCUUCUCAGGAAAGGAAUAAAACUCCUCCUCUCCCCACAGGCUAAAGCCAGUUAUUUCAGAAGUUUCGCAUUUCAGUAGUUUAUUUCCUAGAACAUGCAGCUAGACCUAUUUCACAACUUGUUUCUAGGCGAAGGCAGAUGAGCCAGUCCUUGUACCACACCUUAAGGAUGACAUGACUCAGGCUCAGGCUAUCCCCAUCUGUGACAAAUUCCAUAGAGUGCACAUGUGACCUUCCUGCAGUUCUGUGCCUGAGAGAUGGCUUCCUGUUUGGGCACAAGCCAGGAAGCACAGCUAGCAUCAAUGAAAUGGUGACACGGAAUCUACCCAAAUUGCUGAUAAAUGCACCAAGUAAACAAACUGGUAAAAAAUUUAAGGCAAAAUACACCUUUUCUGUAAUCAGAUUCCAUUGUAAUAAUUUUAUAGGGUUACUAGUUGCAAUAGUAGAUACAACAUACUUGGGGAAACAUAACUUACAGGUUGGCAAUCUCCCCUUUUAAUCAGUGCUAUUUAGAGGAUGCGUAUACCUUGACUUGCUGCUCUACAGAUCACUGGUUUUCCUGACUGGUUUCAUUGACUUCUUUUAAUUUAAUAAAAAUCUUUUUCAGUUUUGUGGGUUUAAAAAAAAAAACACAACUUUUUUGCAGUCUGAUUUUAGGGUCUGUGCUCCUUGGCACUGCCCCUUUCAACAAGAUAGAAUUUCAAAGUAGAGCUCAUUGUCAUACAUUCAUUUGGCAACGUUGUCUAACCAGUAGGCUAUAAAUGCAGUAAACACUCUGCAGCCUUUACCCUUCUAUUUAAAUCUUUAUUCUGUUUCCUCAGGUACUACAGAGGUGGGUGUGAGAAACAAAAUCUGCACAGAUGGAUGGAUCUAUCAAUGCAGGCUACUGGGCAAUCUUUCCCUGGAGCUGCCAAAAGACUGUAGGCAACUAGUGAUAAGAGUUGAAGUUUUCAUCAGCUUGUGUUUUCUUAACCAGCUUCAAUCUCUGUUCUGCUUCCAUUAGAAGCAUCCAGAGCGAAAUUGUUGUAUAUUUUAAGUCUUACUGUAAAUCUAAAUAACCAGCUAAUUCAUUGCUUUGAGUUAGUGGCAGAGACCGAUAGAGGAAGGACUGGUCUUAUGUACAGCAGUUUUAUUUGUGGCCCUGUUUUCAUCAUCUUGAAAGAUAAUGUAUUUUCUUGCUUGCUUCUUUGCCUCCUUCUCCAGCCCCCAUCAAUUGAAAGCUCAAGCUUGUGCCAAACCUUCUCUGAGGAAGGUCUUUAAAUUCUUCUUUGGUUAUGUCCCCUUUUUUUCCACCCUUGGAAUCCUGCCUGCUUUAAUGGCUUACACCCUUUGAUUUACUGGACCAUGUAACGCGUGCUCAAAGAGUGGUGUCAACUAUGAAAUCCAAAACUGCCAUUAAAUUCCAUAGGGCCAGGAUUUCUCCCCUAGUUUCUGCUCACCACAUCUAACAAAGUCUAACCUUCAUUUCUAGUAUCAUCCAUACAUGUGGCUUCCCACCUAUGAAAAAUGGGAGGUUGUAGGCAUACACAAUGCCAUACGUUUUUCCUCUCCCAGGUCAAUGCAUUGAACAAUAAAACAAAAAAUCCACACUAGUGCAGCUUCUACCUUAUCUACAGUUUAUAUCUGUAGUUACCUAAGAUAAGUAUGUUCUCUGAGUCAGGUAGGUCACCCAACCAGUUUACACUGGCUUGAUUCUUGGAAGACGUGGGUUCUGUUCUGCACCUCAGUCCUGACUUGCUAGCUCCAUUUUGAUUUCUGUUAAGCAGAGAGACUGCCAGCUCAAACCAAAGGUGUAAUUGUUUUUUGGUGUGUCCAAACAGUGAGGAUGAGGCUGUCCAAAUUCAUUUUUAAUUGUGACCAAACAGAAUUUGAAUCUAGGACUUCAGUGUUGAGGCUUGUGUGUCAUAAUCCACUAAAACACAUAAAUGGUCGGAAAUCUGCUGCUGUUUUAAUAGACCUUCUGUUGAAGCUCUCUAACGUUCUGGGAAUAACCUCAUGAGACUGUCCUUGCUUGCCUGACUGUAAUCUGAGAUCAUGCCUUCGGUUCUGAGUAAACGAAGGGUAGGAUUCUAGGAGUAACAAUCUCCCAAGCAUGUUUCACUGCCAGAACCUAUUUGACUGGAGGCUUCUCACUGUUAAUUGGAAAUAAUGUCAGAAGUAUCUUUCACCCCAGGCUCGUCAUUUCCAAAAGGAAUAGCAAGAGCAAGGUCUGUCAAUGCCAGAUAUUUUGGUCUUCAAACAUCUCCACCUGCACUCUCAAUCCUCAUGUUUUUGCAAGGUGUGCGUGUGUAUAACUAAAAUGUGUAGAUAGGGCUAUGGCAUAAGAAUCAAGUUAAUAUCUAUAUCUAUCAUAUUAGAAUGCAUCCCUAAGAAAAUUCUCAUUAAUUUGAUUCACUGAAAGAAUCUUCUAGUGAAGUGACUUUCAACCUUUCUAUAUUGCAAGCCCAUGUUAAUCAGGAAAAAAAUAUAUGGAUAUUCCCUCUUCCUCCUCCCUUCCCCAAUCGAGCCAUAAAGAAAAGAAGGGUGAUCAGAUCCCCUGAAACAUGUUUGAGACCCACCCUCCCAGAACCAUCAGCUAUGGUAUUUGCACUAUGCUCCUGGCCCUACUGUCUGUCUGCCUUACAAUUUCUAAAAAGAAACACACAUUUUCUCUCUUCUCUGCAGUUCUAGGAAGAGAAAGUUUGAGAAGAAUUAUUUUUAGAAAGCCUUUUUCAGUACUGUUGCACAGUGGUGUGAUUGUAUUGCGUAAAAUAGGGAUGUUACUUUGUUGGCUGCUGUGAAGUUAAAGAUUCACUGUGCUCUUUUGUCCCCCCAUAUCACUUAAAAUGAGUAUUUAGACAAUUUAAGUGAUUUAUAUUUUACUGGAAGUUGAGGAGAGGAACUGUUUGAACACUACUUCCUGAAGCAUCCUGUCAUCUCUGUGAUUGCUCUUAAUUAAUGUGCUUCAUGGAAGAGGGGCUGUCUUUGUUGCUUGCAUAAGGCUGAAUGUAUUGUCUGCCCUUAAGAUAUUUUCAGUUUGACCAUAUGUAUGGUAUUCUGGGGUUCUCUCUUUAAUCAAAGCUCUCUCUCCCUUUCUCCAGGACGUGCAAAAUUAAGUCAAGGCUUUAAACUGUAAUUCCAUGAAGAGCCAACUGUUGAGCGACUGUAUCUAGUGUAAAGUGUGGCUAUUAUGGUGAUGGGGCAAUAGAAAUAUCUCAAUGGAUGAGUGGUCUAAAGAUGAGAACCAUGAAGGAAAGUAAGAGGUACAUGGCAUAAGAUGUUACCUCAUCAAAAUUUCACUUUUGUUACACAUUCUCACACUAGACAAGGAAAGGGGGCAUUGUUUAAUAGUAAGCAUGCUAGUCUUUGAACUCAGUACGGUAUCCUGUUGCUGAAAGUCCCAAUAUACCAUCCUUCAACCUCUCCGGGCUGUUUACGCAUUUGUAAAAUGGUGGCAAUAAGGGGUGCUAAGAAUAAUUGGUGGUUAAGUGCUUUGAGCUCCACUGAUGUAUUUGCAUUGGGAAUUUUUUUGAUCCUUAUGUGGUUCCAAAUGUUGUGGAAUCCUGUGUGUUAAACUGCUGCUGAGGAAGUAAUGCUAUACUCAUGAGUCUGAGUUGUCCUUAGCCUUUAACAGAUCUGCAGGAGGAAAGAUUAAAGUGAAGCAGAACUACUGACUGGCUGCUCUAAGCAAGUGUACUCUUACCUCAUAAGAAAUGUUGUUCCUUUCCAAGUGUUGCUCAAGUUCAGUUCAUUUGAAGAACCAGAGUUUGGAGUCAUAGUGAUUGCGUGUUGGGGUUUUUUGUUUGUUUUUUUUUUUAAAUCCAUGAUUACUCCAGAAAAUUGUGCCAUGUUAAUCCAUGUUAAUAACUGGGCAAUCCAAACUGGUCAUGGAUUGAGCCAUCACAAAUGGAGACGUGUUAGUGUGUUGUCCUAAAUGGUCUGAUAUCUUUCAUUUUUGAUUGAAUUAGUCUUGCUGUGGUGAUUCUGAUUCAUGAUCAAUUUUGGUAAGUUUAGAAGCAAACAAGUGUAUUAAAAAUAAGUGCCUGUUUAAGACAAUUGCACUGCAUCAUAGGUUUAAGGGGGUUUUCACCUGGAGUGCAGAAGAAUUCCUGAGUCUACAGAAAUUCUCCAGUAUAUCAUAGGGCAACUUGUACUGGACCUGUUCUGCUUGAUCUAAAAAUCUGUUUUUGCCAUAGAGAACUAAACUGAUCCACUCUGACCUGAUUUUUAGCUGAUAACAGUUAGGCUGUGAAUGCUGAGUUGACAGUGAGAGACGGCACAGAAAGUGUUCUGAGUAAGGAAAAGAUUUUAAAGUAGAAAACAGAUCAGGCUGAGAGAAUUAAGGGACAAAAAGAAUGAGUGGUAGAUUUCCUGAACAAGGGAAGAAAUUAAAGUAAGACCUGUCUAAUUUUCCUUCAGGACAGGAACCAGCUUCUCAUUGUGUGUACGGUGGCUAGCACAAAUAGCCCUGAUGUCCGAUGUGGGCCUCUAGGCCAGUGUUUUUCAAAGUUCAGAUCAUGACCCAGUACUGGAUUGCAGCGUAUAAGGUACUGGGUCGCCUUGCUCAGCACCCAGGGACCCUAGCGGCUCUGGUUAGCACCACUGACCAGGAUGUUAACAGUCCCAUCAGCGGUGCUGCCCAGCUAAGGCAGGCUAGUGCCCACCUGCUCUGACACUGCGCUGGGCCCCAGAAGCAGCCAGCAACAGGUCCGGCUUCUAGGCAGGGGGGUCAUGGAGCUCCGCAUGCUGCCCGAGCACCAGUUCCGCACUCUCAUUGGUGGGUUCCCUGCUGGCGAGAGCCGCACAGAGCCGCUUGCACACCUCCGCCUAGGAGCCAGACCUGCUGCUGUCUGUUUCCGGGACGCAGCACUGUCUGUGGCGCCAGGACAGGCAGGAAGCCUGCCUUAGCACCCCUGCUGUGACACUAACCGGGAGCCACUGGAGGUAAGUCCACGCCCCAAACCCAUGCCCCAGCCCUAAGCCUCCUCCAAACCUGGAGCCCCUCCUGCACCCCAAAUCCCUCAUCCCUGGCCCCACCGCAGAGCCUGUACCUCCCAGCCCCACUCCGCAGCCCAAACCUCUGCCCCAGCCCUGAGCCCCUCCUACUCCAAACCCCUCAUCCCCAGCUCCGUUGGGUCACAGGCAUCAACAAUUUUCUUCAACUGGGUCCCCUGGAAAAAAGUUUGAAAACCACUGCUAGGCACUACCACAAUAUAUAUCAAUAGACUACCCACAGCAUUGGAGCUAAGUGAUGUGUUUAACUUAUUCAAUAGGUGUGUAGUGAUUUUGCCUCUUAAAGACAGCUCAGUAUCUUUGAAUUUCGCAUCUCUCUAAUUAGCUCUUGAUAGUCUAAAAUUACUCAAAAUUUACAGGGAGAAAAGGAAAAAUCUUCAGUGAAGUUGUUCAGAGUCUUUCAGUGGAGAGUGUGAUGUUUUUUCCAGCUGGACACAGGGGUUGCAAAUCAACUUCUGUAUUUGUAGCCUGGAAAUGGAGAAUAGAUUUCACAGAUGAAGACACCAGCUUAUGCACAGCUCAUAUCUGCUUGUUGCAAACACACUUUGUUGUUGUUGUUGCUUAAAUGAGUUUCAAAUGCCUUGAGAACUGGGUAGUUCUGAGGUGAAGGAAAACUGGGAGAAGCUGCAAGGUCUGGAGCAAACAUCUCCAACAGCUUUGCUGUAAAUGGAAGAAAAUAUCUUAUUCUUUUCUUUUUAAGCCUGCUUCAUGUCAUCUGAAAUGCUGCCUUUGCUGUUUAUCUUAGCUCUAUGCGUGACUGUUGCUUUUUGACACAACACGUCUCUUGCACAGCACUGCAUGUUUCUAUAUGCCUUGCAGUGUGUGAGUGUUAAGGAUGGCUGAGCUUGAAAGAAACCUCAGAUCAAGACAUCCCUGCAGUCUAGACCAUAGUUUUCAAUUGCCAAAGGCCCCCCCACACACACUCUUAUUCAUGCAGGAAAUUUAAAAGACAAAACUAAGUGACUCUUCAACUGAAAGAAGUGUCUACAUGGGUUUGCCCUAACUAACUAAACCAGUUUAAUUAAACUGCUGAAUGUUUUGUGUAGUCAAGACCUGGGAAUGCCCUGCUGCCUAUUCCCUCCCACUUAUACCAAAAGGAUGCUUGUGAUAACCGCAACUGGUGAGCUACCAUAUGGGGAAGAGAGGCAGCCUUGCAAGCAGCUGGGACCUAAAUAUUUAGCUUGCAUUCUGCAGACUGUUUAUCUUGCUGUGAUUCUACUUAAUUGCUCAAUUCCUUGUAAAAAAAAAAAAAAAAAAGUGUGUUAAAAAAAUUGGGCAAUCCUUAUGCAUACUCCAGAUUUGUUUUCAAAACUAGCGCUUUCAUUUCCCCCUUUCAAGCACCAUAACAAUAUUUAGUUGUAGAUGAGCUAAGAAAUUCUGAAUGUUACUAUAACACUGAGUCACCCAAGCAAAGAUUAACCAAAUAAGGAAACAAUGCAGUGGAUUGAGAAAUUUUGGAAGCCAUCAUAUUUUGACAUUUUUGUUUUAAAAAAAAAGUCUAGAGCUAUAUUCAGUAUAAUAUGGAAUGUGUUGUUUUCUGUCGAUACCCACUAAUCAAUGCAGCAUAAACAAAACUGUAUAAACAAAAACAUGCCCAUUACCAAGUUUUAGAUCGUAGAAUCAUAUGGACAUUAUGCUUUAAUAUGUGCACAGAUUUGGAUGUCACUUAAAAUGCCAAUGAUCUGAAAAUGUGGUUUUUUUACCUGUAAUGAAAUGUGGUAUAAUUUCCUGUUUCGUUUUUUUUCCCCCUUUCAGUUGCAAUUUUUGAUGGAGGCAGUGACCCC